UUUCUUUUAUCUUUGGAAAAAUCAAAAUGGAAACGUAUGCGAAGCCAUCGCGUGCUCGUAUCAUGAGUCUUAAAGAGUCUCUAAGAAACUUGAAAAAGGGUAACCUCUCUAUUACUUCAUAUCUACAAAAGAUCAAGCAAAAUCUGCAGCACUUUAGUCUUUCUUGCAUCCAAGUUUCAGUGGAUGAGCUCUUCCUUUAUGCUCAUCGUGGACUUCCAUCUGAAUAUGACACUAUCACUUCAGCUCUAACAGGAUCAGUGAGCAUGGGUACGAGGAACUCAAAUCCUAUCUUAUUCCAUAUGGAUUUUGCCACUCUCAGCCAGAUUACCGCUUGUUUAUAUAUGCUAAAUCUAGAGUUAUGCUCUACCUCAUUGUAUAUGUUGAUGAGCUAAUUAUCACGGGUAAUCAUCAAUGUUCGGUGGAAGAUUUUAUUAAGUAUCUUGCUAAUCAAUUUUCUAUUAAAGUUAUUCAAGUUAAUAGCUUCAACCAUGUUGGCUCAGUUCAAGUUAUUCGCUCACCAUAUGGAAUUUUCUGAAGUCAGCAGAGGUAUAUCUAUGAGAUCUUAGACUGAGCCAACAUGGUUGAAGCUAAUCCCAUGCACACACCAAUGGCACACAGAGCUUGUUCCAUGAGUAGUGAUGGCUCUUUACUUGAAGAUCCAAAAGAAUAUCGUUGUAUAGUUGGAAGUUUAUAAUAUCUUCAUCUUACCAGACCAGAUGUUGCCUUUGUUGUUUGCAAAUUGUCUCAGUUUGCAAGUGCUCCAACAACUACACACCAGACUAUGGUUAAACGAGCACUACAAAAAAAUGCAUACUUUGUGGAGGCUUAAUUGGGGAGGUUCGCCGGGAAAAUGCUCUCAGAAUUUUCUCGCUCUCUGUCACUCCACAACAUCCAUUAUAUGAAGAGAAGAAGAGAAGUCUGGUGAUUUAUGUUCGCAGAAGAGAAGAGGAGCUCUCGUUAGGUGUUGAUUUUCCAUUAAAGAAGAGGAGAAGAUUUAUUGGAUUCUCUCUAAGCUCGCAAAUUUGCUCUUCCAUCGACGAAUAUUCUCAAAAUCGUCACAGGGAACUGAAGAAGCAAAGAGAAAUGGCAGUUGCAGCUAAGGAGGAAGAGAAGAAGACGUAUAACUCUACUACCGAUGGUAUUGCAGUAUCAAUGGUGAUGAAGUAUGCUGACAAUAUUGUGAAGAUUGAAAAGGAUGGUUAUCAGUGGAGGAAUAUGAAUGCUGAAAUGGUGACCUGGACAGAAUUGGAGCCAGAGUACUUGACCAAUUCUUCUGAUGAAUGAACUUCUCAUAGUGAUGAAGUAUCUUACUGGAUGCCCAAUUCUUAAUGUUUUUGGAAAUUUGUUAGAAAUAUGUAUAACACAAAUGGAUUGGAAAAAUAUUAGGAUAUUACUUUUAAUACUGUAACUUGUUGGAUAUUACUUUUUAUACUGUAACUUUUUUUAUUGCUGCAGCAGUAUCAUUACUUGUAAA